rnacentral:rRNA from 1 species
GAUGAACGCUGGCGGCGUGCUUAACACAUGCAAGUCGAACGGAAAGGCUCCUGCUUGCAGGGGUACUCGAGUGGCGAACGGGUGAGUAACACGUGGGUGAUCUGCCCUGCACUUCGGGAUAAGCCUGGGAAACUGGGUCUAAUACCGGAUAGGACGAUGGUUUGGAUGCCAUUGUGGAAAGUUUUUCGGUGUGGGAUGAGCUCGCGGCCUAUCAGCUUGUUGGUGGGGUAAUGGCUUACCAAGGCGUCGACGGGUAGCCGGCCUGAGAGGGGGUACGGCCACAUUGGGACUGAGGUACGGCCCAGACUCCUACGGGAGGCAGCAGUGGGGAAUAUUGCACAAUGGGCGCAAGCCUGAUGCAGCGACGCCGCGUGGGGGAUGACGGCCUUCGGGUUGUAAACUACUUUCGCUAGGGACGAAGCGCAAGUGACGGUACCUGGAGAAGAAGCACCGGCUAACUACGUG